AUUGAACGCUGGCGGCAUGCCUAACACAUGCAAGUCGAACGCGUGGCGGACGGGUGAGAAACGUCGGGGACCCUGCCUUAUGGAGGGGGUUAACUACUGGAAACGGUAGUUAAUCCCGAAUACCAUCGGAUGUUCCCAGAUGGGAUUAGCUAGUAGGUGGGGUAAAGGCUUACCUAGGCGACGAGCCAUAGCGGGUCUGAGAGGAUGACCGGCCACACUGGAACGGAGACACGGUCCAGACUCCUACGGGAGGCAGCAGUGGGGAAUCUUGCGCAAUGGGCGAAAGCCUGAUGGAGCCACGCCGCGUGUGUGAUGAAGGCCUUCGGGUUGUAAAGUUCUGUCAGCAGGGAGGCGUUACCUGAAGAAGAAGCACCGGCUAACUACGUGCCAGCAGCCGCGGUAAUAC
rnacentral:rRNA from 1 species